CUUUGUUUUUAUUGCGUGAAACUACACUACAUACAUAAAGACACACUAUAAGAUUUUUACAUAACCAUGAACACACCAUGAACAGACACUGCCCAUUUUUCACCACUGCAGCCAGCUCACACAGACACUGACUCAAGCCAGGUUAAGGACUGCCCAUAUGGGGGUGGUUUAGGCUCGUUAUAAAAGUUAGAAAAGAAAGGAAGUCGGGGUUCUUUGUUCCUGGUGUUUGCAUGCGACUAGUUCAAGAUCCCAGCGUUGAGAUAACUCUGUACUGGUGCAACAACUUUUUUCAAUACAUCUAAACUUUGAAGUUUGUUUCCUGUCCAGUUCUUUUUGGAGGUCUCACUGUGAUAAAAGAACCAAACAAGAGCUAGGCCACCUUCUCGACGGGGGAGAUAUAUUCUGUCCAUGCAUUGAUUUCUAUAUGUAACUUUAUGUAGGGUGAGCAUCUUCCUGGUUUUAGUAUCUAACUUAUUAAGAUCAUCCUGUGGCCAGUCUGCUAUGGCAAACCCAUAGGUCACCACAGGCAAUGCAAACUGGGUUAUGGCUGUGGUCUUGUUCUUUGGUGUUCAUUCAGAUUUACAGAUCUUUUAAAAACAGUUUAGGUAUUCUUGUGUUACUCUCUCACUUUCUUAUGCUCUACUGUAGUAUUUUCUUCAAUUCCCAAGUAUUUGUACGUGGAGUACUCAGCCAAAUCUUCAAUGGAGCUCCCCUCAUCCAACUGUAUGUUUUCUGCGGCUUCCUUCUUACUGCCUCCGACUGUACAUUUAGAACAUUUAUCCAGUCCAAAUUCCAUACCAAUGUCUUUGGAGAACGUAUGUACUGUUUCCACAAGCUGAGUGAGUCCCUGUUCUGAGUCGGCAAAGAUUUUUAGAUCAUCCAUAAACAACACUGCUCCGAAGCAGUGCUUCAUUGCUUCAAAGCGAUGCACGUAACUGUUGCUAUCCCAGAAACAGCACAGUCAUUGGUACUCUCAGAUGAGAGAUGAGAGUCCGGAUGUGGAGAUUUAGAAUCAGGUUGCUCGUGCACUGUAAUAUCCACAGGCAGACUUGAAUGUUGAGAGGAGGACAACUGCGGACCGCUCUUCUUGCAUGUGAUUAACCUCUGGGUACCGAAACUUGACACCGAAAGAUGAGGCAUGUUUUGGUACUCUGUACUACUGAAGCAUUUCGGUCAGUGCCACAAAAGAACUGAAGUUCGGUACCCAGCCCUACUGAACUCGUGUGCCUGGGAAUAUCAAUUUGUCCUUCUGCGUGAUUUAUGGUGAUGGUGGUGUUCCACUUAUUCAUGUGUCCUCAGAAAAGAUCUUAUUUCGUCAUUGAUAUCACAGAGUUCCAAGCACCUCCAAAUCCAGGAGUGUGGCACGCUGCCAAAUGCCUUUUUGUAAUCAAUCCAAGCCAUGCUAAGAUUUUUCCUCCUUUUGCACUCCUCCAGGAUAGCUUUGUUUAUCAAUAACUGAUGUUUAACUCCUAAUCUUUUGCUUAUCAACCCUUUUUUCAUUUUCCAGAUAGCCACCAGUGUCUAGCUGUUCAUAAAUGGCAUCAGCUAUGAUUCCUGUCACUUAUAUGUUGCUGUUGCUGUGUUGGGUAGCUGUAUUUCCUUGGUCUUUGGUAGUAGGCUUGUGUUCCCAGUCAUUAGCCAGUCUGGCAUGUCUUCUCCUUUCAGCAUUUUUGUGAAAGCCACGGCAUAGUGGUGGUGCAAUGCUGUCAGCUUUUACAACCAAAAAUUUGUGAUUUUGUCAAUGCCAGGUGCCUUGAAGUUACUGUAUUCAUUCAUUUCUUUCUGAUCUCUCCUUCAUUGAAUAAAAUUGCUUGCAUUUGUUGGUUUGUGUGUGUUACCCUGU